GCCAGAGUGGUUUAGUGGUUUGAGCAUUGGACUAUGACUCUGGAGAAUAGGGUUCGAAGCCCCACUUGGCCA